rnacentral:rRNA from 1 species
AUUGAACGCUGGCGGCAGGCCUAACACAUGCAAGUCGAACGGAUGAAGGGAGCUUGCUCCUGGAUUCAGCGGCGGACGGGUGAGUAAUGCCUAGGAAUCUGCCUGGUAGUGGGGGAUAACGUCCGGAAACGGGCGCUAAUACCGCAUACGUCCUGAGGGAGAAAGUGGGGGAUCUUCGGACCUCACGCUAUCAGAUGAGCCUAGGUCGGAUUAGCUAGUUGGUGGGGUAAAGGCCUACCAAGGCGACGAUCCGUAACUGGUCUGAGAGGAUGAUCAGUCACACUGGAACUGAGACACGGUCCAGACUCCUACGGGAGGCAGCAGUGGGGAAUAUUGGACAAUGGGCGAAAGCCUGAUCCAGCCAUGCCGCGUGUGUGAAGAGGGUCUUCGGAUUGUAAAGCACUUUAAGUUGGGAGGAAGGGCAGUAAGUUAAUACCUUGCUGUUUUGACGUUACCAACAGAAUAAGCACCGGCUAACUUCGUG